AGUCACUGACAUUAGAUACCCGGUAGUCCCAGCCGUAAACGAUGUGCGUUAGGUGUAUCGACGACCACGAGUUGUCGAGGUGCCGAAGGGAAACCGUGAAACGUACCGCCUGGGAAGUACGGUCGCAAGGCAGAAACUUAAAGGAAUUGGCGGGGAGCACCACAACAGGUGGAGCCUGCGGUUUAAUUGGACUCAACGCCGGACAUCUCACCGGAUAAGACAGCUGAAUGAUUGCCGGGCUGAAGACUCUGCAUGACUAGCUG
rnacentral:rRNA from 1 species